rnacentral:rRNA from 1 species
GACGAACGCUGGCGGCAUGCCUAACACAUGCAAGUCGAACGAGACCUUCGUGUCUAUUGGCGCUCGUCUGCUUAACACCGGGGAAGUUACCCUUAGGUUCGCAAUAACUCCCCGAGAGGUGUGCUAAUACCACUUAAUCUCUUCGCACAAAGGAUCUAUCGCCUUUGGAUGGGCGCGCGUUGGUUUAGCUGGUUGGUAGGGUAAUAGCAUACCAAGGCGACGAUCCAUAGCUGGUCUGAUAGGAUGAUCAUUCAGAAUGGGACUGAGACACGGCCCAGACUCCUACGGGAGGGAGCAGUGGGGAAUAUUGGACAAGGGGCGAAAGCGUGAUCCAGCAAUGCCGCGUGAGUGAUGAAGGGCUUAGGGUUGUAAAGCUGUUUUAGCCGGGAUGAGAAUGACAGUACCGGGAGAAGAAGCUCCGGCUAACUACGUG